CCUACGGGUGGCAGCAGUGGGGAAUAUUGCACAAUGGGCGCAAGCCUGAUGCAGCCAUGCCGCGUGUGUGAAGAAGGCCUUCGGGUUGUAAAGCACUUUCAGCGGGGAGGAAGGCGUUAAGGUUAAUAACCUUGUCGAUUGACGUUACCCGCAGAAGAAGCACCGGCUAACUCCGUGCCAGCAGCCGCGGUAAUACGGAGGGUGCAAGCGUUAAUCGGAAUUACUGGGCGUAAAGCGCACGCAGGCGGUCUGUCAAGUCGGAUGUGAAAUCCCCGGGCUCAACCUGGAAACUGCAUUCGAAACUGGCAGGCUAGAGUCUUGUAGAGGGGGGUAGAAUUCCAGGUGUAGCGGUGAAAUGCGUAGAGGUCUGGAGGAAUACCGGUGGCGAAGGCGGCCCCCUGGACAAAGACUGACGCUCAGGUGCGAAAGCGUGGGGAGCAAACAGGAUUAGAUACCCUAGUAGUC
rnacentral:rRNA from 1 species